GCCAGCAUGGUUCAGUGAUUUGAGUGUUGGACUAGGAUUCAGAAGACCAGGGUUCAAAUCCCCACUUGGCC